rnacentral:rRNA from 1 species
AUUGAACGCUGGCGGCAUGCUUUACACAUGCAAGUCGAACGGCAGCGGGGGCUUCGGCCUGCCGGCGAGUGGCGAACGGGUGAGUAAUGCAUCGGAACGUGCCCAGUCAUGGGGGGAUAACUACGCGAAAGCGUAGCUAAUACCGCAUACGCCCUGAGGGGGAAAGCGGGGGAUCGCAAGACCUCGCGUGAUUGGAGCGGCCGAUGUCGGAUUAGCUAGUUGGUGGGGUAAAGGCCUACCAAGGCGACGAUCCGUAGCGGGUCUGAGAGGAUGAUCCGCCACACUGGGACUGAGACACGGCCCAGACUCCUACGGGAGGCAGCAGUGGGGAAUUUUGGACAAUGGGGGCAACCCUGAUCCAGCCAUGCCGCGUGAGUGAAGAA